UACGGAGGGGGCAAGCGUUGUUCGGAAUUACUGGGCGGAAAGGGCUCGUAGGCGGCCAAUUAAGUCAGACGUGAAAUCCCUCGGCUUAACCGGGGAACUGCGUCUGAUACUGGAUGGCUCGAAUCCGGGAGAGGGAUGCGGAAUUCCAGGUGUAGCGGUGAAAUGCGUAGAUAUCUGGAGGAACACCGGUGGCGAAGGCGGCAUCCUGGACCGGCAUUGACGCUGAGGAGCGAAAGCCAGGGGAGCAAACGGG
rnacentral:rRNA from 1 species